rnacentral:rRNA from 1 species
AGCGAACGCUGGCGGCAGGCCUAACACAUGCAAGUCGAACGAACUCUUCGGAGUUAGUGGCGGACGGGUGAGUAACACGUGGGAACGUGCCUUUUGGUUCGGAAUAACUCAGGGAAACUUGUGCUAAUACCGAAUGUGCCCUUCGGGGGAAAGAUUUAUCGCCAUUAGAGCGGCCGGCGUCUGAUUAGCUAGUUGGUGAGGUAACGGCUCACCAAGGCGACGAUCAGUAGCUGGUCUGGGAGGAUGACCAGCCACACUGGGGCUGAGACACGGCCCAGACUCCUGCGGGAGGCAGCAGUGGGGGAUCUUGCGCAAUGGGCGAAAGCCUGACGCAGCCAUGCCGCGUGAAUGAUGAAGGUCUUAGGAUUGUAAAAUUCUUUCACCGGGGACGAUGAUGACGGUACCCGGAGAAGAAGCCCCGGCUAACUUCGUG